GUGCUCGCUUCAGCAGCACAUAUACUAAAAUUGGAAUUAACAUGGCCCCUACGCAAGGAUGACAUGCAAAUUCAUGAAGUGUUCCAUAAAGAU
rfam:Myotis brandtii contig268077, whole genome shotgun sequence.